rnacentral:rRNA from 1 species
GACGAACGCUGGCGGCGCGCCUAACACAUGCCAGUCGAGCGAUGAAAUUUUAACCGCUCUCUUCGGAGCGAAGAUAAAAUGGAUUAGCGGCGGACGGGUGAGUAACACGUGAGAAACCAGCCUUUCACAAGGGGAUAGCCUCGGGAAACCGGGAUUAAUACCAUAUGACACAUUUCCUUCGCAUGGAAGAAGUGUUAAAAGUCCGGGGGUGAAAGAUGGUCUCGCGCCUGAUUGGCGAGUGGGGGGGGUCACGGCCCACCAAGGGCAGGAGGCGGAACCGGCCAGUGGGGCUGAGCGGCGACUCUGGAACUGAGGCACGGUCCAAACGCCUACGGGAGGAAGCAGUGGGGAAUAUUGCAGCAGGGAGGAAACUCGGAUGAUGCGGCGCCGCGGGAGGUAUGCAGGCUUUGGAGGCGAAAAGCCCUGUUGUAUGGGAAGGUAAUGACGGUACCAGAGGAGGAAGCCCCGGCUAACUACGUG